rnacentral:rRNA from 1 species
UACGUAGGGGGCAAGCGUUAUCCGGAAUUACUGGGUGUAAAGGGAGCGUAGGCGGGACAGCAAGUUGGAUGUUUAACAUAUCGGCUCAACCGAUAUCUGCACCCAAAACUGCGGUUCUUGAGUGAAGUAGAGGCAGGCGGAAUUCCUAGUGUAGCGGUGAAAUGCGUAGAUAUUAGGAGGAACACCAGUGGCGAAGGCGGUCUGCUGGGCUUUAACUGACGCUGAGGCUCGAAAGCGUGGGGAGCAAACAGGAUUAGAUACCCUGGUAGUCCACGCUGUAAACGAUGAUUACUAGGUGUGGGGGGACUGACCCCUUCCGUGCCGCAGUUAACACAAUAAGUAAUCCACCUGGGGAGUACGGCCGCAAGGCUGAA